rnacentral:rRNA from 1 species
GGGCUUGACAUCCCACGAACCUGCCUGAAGGGCGGGGUGCCCGCAAGGGAGCGUGGAGACAGGUGGUGCAUGGCUGUCGUCAGCUCGUGUCGUGAGAUGUUGGGUUAAGUCCCGCAACGAGCGCAACCCUCACCCCUGGUUGCCACCGGGUAAAGCCGAGCACUCGAGGGGAACUGCCAGCGUCAAGCUGGAGGAAGGCGGGGAUGACGUCAAGUCAUCAUGCCCCUUACGCCCUGGGCUACACACGUGCUACAAUGGCCGGUACAAAGGGACGCGAGACCGCGAGGUGGAGCCAAUCCCAAAAAACUGGUCUAAGUUCAGAUUGCAGUCUGCAACUCGACUGCAUGAAGGAGGAAUCGCUAGUAAUCGCGCAUCAGCACGGCGCGGUGAAUACGUUCCCGGGCCUUGUACACACCGCCCGUCACACCACGAAAGCUGACUGUACUCGAAGUCGCUGAG